GACGGAAGGGCACCACCAGGGGUGGAACCUGCGGCUUAAUUUGACUCAACACGGGGAAACUCACCAGGUCCAGACACAGUGAGGAUUGACAGAUUGAGAGCUCUUUCUUGAUUCUGUGGGUGGUGGUGCAUGGCCGUUCUUAGUUGGUGGAGUGAUUUGUCUGCUUAAUUGCGAUAACGAACGAGACCUUAACCUGCUAAAUAGCCCGUACUGCUUUGGCAGUUCGCCGGCUUCUUAGAGGGACUAUCGGCUCAAGCCGAUGGAAGUUUGAGUCAAUAACCGGUCUGUGAUGCCCUUAGAUGGCUUUGGACGCACGCGCGGUACACUGACUGAGCCAGCUAGUCUUUCCUUGGCCGGCAGGUCCGGGUAAUCAUGUUUAACUCUGUCGUGCUGGGGAUAGAGCAUGGCA
rnacentral:rRNA from 1 species